GUCCUUGAAGUGUGAUGGAUGCACGCGACCCUGCGAAGGUCGUAGACCAGGUUCGAUUCCUGGCGGGGGCG
rnacentral:tRNA from 1 species